GUGCUCGACGUCGCGAACCGGGAAGGGGGGAAGGUCGCCUGAUUCGCCUUGUUCCACGGAGCGUGUUUGGGGUGGUUUCGGGGUUCGGGGACCUCUGCUGCUGGCCGGAUUUCUCAUCGGAGAUCUAACACCGCGGCGGGGCCACCAUUCUCCGUGGCCGGGGCAGUUUGCGCCCACAUCACAGGUAAGAAGUCUUCCUCUGAGCUCACCUCGUCCUCCUCGUCGCGUAGCACCAAUCAAUUUUAGAUUUGGGGACGCUUGGGCGUUGAAUCGUGCGCGCGCCGGCAAGCCUCCGCCGUGAUCACUGGCCAGCGCCACCGCCUGGGCGCGUUGGUGGGGAAGAAGAGGGUUGGCCGUUGAUCUUGUGACUGACGGCUAGGAUUAGUCCACCCGUACCGAUUCGGCUGCACCAAUCUGGUUCGUCCGAUCUAAGAUCUAGCACUUGUAAUCGAGGUGGGUAAUGAAUAACUGUGAUGAUACAAAUAUACAAAUAAAGUCCUAGGAAAAUAGACAUUGUAAUAAGACAAGCAUAAAUAAACAACACUAUGCUGGCUCUUUCAGUCCAUUCAGACAAAUUGGGGUUCUCAAGCAACUUUACCCACACUGCACGCAUGAAGAAAUAAUACAUGUAAGUAUUCUUAGAAAAAAAACAACUCGACGAACUUAUAAUAUAUAAUUCUUUGGUCCAAUGGCAUACCACUGAAGGUCUGGAACUUUCAAAACUGGGCCUCAUGUAACCACAUAAGCAUGCUGAUUAUGUGUAAAAACUGGAUUUCAGUAACUAAGUUGCUAAGUACCUAAUCCAAGCAUUUCUGUUUGCAAAUUAAAAUUGAAACGAGCUUUAUACUUCUAUCACCAGAUAUUAUAACAAUGACAUGUGGAAUGAACAUACAUGAUCCAAACUUAAAUCAACCGACAGUCUAUUGACCAAAGAAUUAAUAACAAGAAAAUGUUAAAUGGUGAGGCCUCAAUGAAGAGAUUGCAAUUGAGGGACUUUUGAUCUGUAACUCUCUAGGAAAAAUCGUACUUGGGCUCCCAGAUCCCAGAAAACAAGCUUUACUUUUGCGUAUUCAAUACACCCAAUAUUAAGGCCAACUGUUGGAACAAUGCGAUCAUGUGGAAGCCCUUCUCUCUUCAAGUAGACCGACUUCAACUUUUCUAGCAAGGUCUACAUGGUAAUGUUUCAACAUUAAAUUUUAACACAGACCUGGUUCAGUUAAAUACGAGAUGGACUCAACCUAAUCCCAACACCCAUGAACUACAAGGAAUUGUAGAGGAAAACUGUAGAUAAGCUUCAGAAAAAUUACCAUCUUGCUAGCCUUAUGAAGAGGCACAUGGAACUUCGUCUUGUUGAAGACGUGCUUCCAUACACCAUAGAACAAGGAGAACAUAGUUGCAAGUGUCAGGUUCUAACAACAGUGGUUAGCUUAUGAAAUCUGCGCUCGUGACAACAACCAAAAAAGGGGGAGAGUAUCACUAAAGGGGUGUUUGGUUUUUAGAGACUAAUUUUUAGUCCCUCUAUUUUAGUCUCUUUUAGUCUCCAAAACGAUGAAACACAACGACUAAAAGAGGUAUUAUCUUUAUUCAAGUCCACGUGUUUGGUAAAUUAGAAACUAAAAAAAAAUACUAAAAUAAAGGGACUAAAAAUUAGUCACUAAAAACCAAACACCCCUUAACAGUAGCUAGCUGAAAUGCACGAACUCAGCACCACCAACACAGAAGCAGCCGACCAGGUUUCUAAACUCUAACUAAGAUGAGUGAUGUCGACCUCGCCAGGGAUCUUGAAGGUGGCCACCACACCGAACUUCUUCCUCCUGUCCUCUCACUCGUCCUCGUCCUCUAGGCUAUUGUUGUCGUUGUACUCGUGGUUGUGGCACGAUGGGGGAGAAUAGGUCGUUCACACUCUUUGACCUACACAGAUCAUUGACCAGCAUAGCCACCUGACGGAGGUUGGAGAUCUCCACGACCACGAUGUCGCCCUUCUUGGGCAGAGAACAUGUGCUUGGCUGCUCCCUUGUGGAACUCGAAACGGAUUCGAUGGGCCUAAAACCAAAAUACAGUCACCAAUCUUUAGUUGCACACUUACAAAAACCAAUAGCUCCGCAAGCAGAACAAAACAGGAAGGGGUGAGGGUCAAUAGCAAGUGUCAGCACCUACUUGAACAAGUCUAUACCCACAGUUCCAGAAAGCUUUAAAGACAGUUGGUCAAGAUUUUUCAAAAAAAAAUUGAAAAUAUUGGAAUUGAUGUACCAAAUGUGUUUUCUGCUACUAUUGAUACAUUCCUUUAUUUCUAUCACUGAAAUAAUAUUAAUUUGUCCUUUUGGCUGAAGAGUUUAUGUAUUCUAAUGUUUUUCUCAACUAUGCAGAGAUUAGGUUUGUUCGAAUAAUCUCCAAGGGACUGUGAUAGGGCCAUAACCAUUUCACCUAAUUAUUCUAAGGCAUGACAUUGUUUUUUCUCGAACGCGCAGGAGGACUGCACGUCAUUAUAUUAAGAGAGGAAAAGGUAUAAGAGGACCAAAGUACAAUGUCCAUAGGGCAAUCCGAACACUUGACCACAAUCUAGACCCUACUCAUAAUAGCAUGAAGACCAAAACUUGCUAGCUGCUUAACCCCAACCCUAUCCCUGCAACUUAACUCAUUCAGAAACAAACUUUUAACAGAGCUCAGGGAAGGGUUUACUCCAUCGAAAACAACUUUGUUUCUAGUUUACAUAAUUAUACUGAGGUGAUGAUGUCUCUAUUUUGGAGAAUUCAAGCAAAAGCAUGGAAGCCACUCUUCUAAUUUCGCCUAUUUCUGCAUUUCAGGCUUGGUACAGGAAGGGAAUGGUCACAGAAAAGUGAAGAUUUUUUCAUACAAGAAUAAUAAUGGGAAUGCUGAUGUGUGAUCUUCAGUAAAUUCAUGUACAUUUAGUUGCCCACCUAGCGAACCAGCAAGCGAAAACAUAAAGACAGCUGAAACAGACCAAAAGCCAUCAGUGAUUCCAUAUUUCCAUCAAUGAAUAACUUGACGAGUUAAUGGACUAAAGUGCAAGGUUGACCACUUGAGAAUCUAGAAAUGAGUUUGGAAAUGUCUGUUACGAUGAAGAUAGGUCACUGAUAAUUAAGUCCACUUUGUCCUAAAAUGCAAAAUGGAGAUGACAUCAGCCUACUUAGGUAAACACACAGUCACAUGACUGCAAAGGUUUUAUAUUGCUGAAAGUUAGGGACUAAAUGGUAUUUCUGGAUCUGAGCAGUUCUGGAAAUACAGUAUUGAGAACUUGGGGGGGGGGGGGGGGGGGGGGUGAGUUCAGAGGUAAACAUGGAGCUCAAAUCAUGAUGUGUAUUUGUGACAAUGUAAUAUCUACUAACCUCAUCCAGCAGCAACGGAUCAGAUUCACCUUCCAAUCGCAAAGGUAAAGCAUUACCAAUUAGCUUGCAAUCUUCCAUCCAAACAACCCUAUCUUCACGAUCUUGUGGCUGGAGGUUUGGCGUUGCACACUUUCUUGCCUCUAUAUGCAUAACAUUACAUAUGAUAUAUUUAGGACGAUAAAAAAAUAACAAAGUAGAUUUUUCCCAGCAUCACAAGCACUUUCUCCUCAAUAGGAAAGAGAAAUGUUCUGAUUCAACACAUUGGCAUAUUGCUGUAUUAACUAAUAAGAUUUUAUCUGUCUAGUUUUCAGUGUUUGGAAACAUACAGGGUAUACAGUUAGAUAUGUAGCACCUGUGCCAGAUCAAAAUGAAAUAUGACUGAUAAUAUUUCACCCUAACUAGCAUACCUUUUCAACGCAGGUACAUGGAAUUUAUCCAUCUCUGGUAAAUGAACAACAACCUUGGGGUAUCACCUUGAUGUACAUCAGAUAGUAAUAUACUGCAAUAACCAAGGGUUCCAAGCUUUGCACUAUGAAAGAGACUUAGAUGGUUACUUCAAACAACAUUCUCGUACAGGGAUAUUUCAAGAUUUAUCAUUACUGUGUCACUUAGUUUGCAUGCCCAAUAGCAUUGUAGCACAAAGCUAAUACACGCACCAUUGCUAGAUCUCGAGCCCUAGUAGUUCCAUCUCUUUUUUGGCAGCUCCUAUGGCCGUUUCAGCAAGGUCAAAG
rnacentral:lncRNA from 1 species